AAUGUCGGUUUAAUUCGUUUAUAUUCGUAGGUAGAAACACCUAUUGCUGUAUGUUUAGUUGCCGGAGUUGCAGGCUUACACACAAAGAAAGUUCAAAAUUAUCUCUUCACCCUGUAAAGACUUUUCCAGUGAAUUUUCCCAACACUCGUAUAAACCCCCCAGCUCUUUGACGUCAUAAACCAGAGAGAGUAAAACAAAAAAGGAGAAAAUCGUUUAUACCCAUUAUUUUUUAAUGUUUCUUUUAUCAUUUUAUGAUGCAGUAAUAAUAUAAACAUUAUUUUAACACAAAUUUUUGCAUCAUUUAAGAAUAACAAACAAUUUGUUGAAUUAAGGCUUUUAGUAGGAGUGUUUUUUAUUUUUUUGUGUGUUCCAACGUAGGUAAUAAAAUAAAAUUGAUUUGUAAUCAAUUAGAAGUAACAAUUAUCAAAAUAAUUGUUAAUGAUUGCUUUAUAUCGCCAGUAAUUUAACACAUAAUGAAAAGACAAUAAAUAAUUAACUUAUGUCUUACUAUAAAACGGUGGGCAAAAUAUUUUUAGUUAGUGUAGACCUGAAUUUGCAAAACGUGCCAUGAAACUGUUAUUGAGAUUAUUCCUGAUCUACUCUUGGGUCAACUUGGUGCUAUUGCAAGGACUGCCAAGAGUUGCUAAUUACUAUUUUCCCGGAGCGACACGCCCGUGGCCAUACCACCAACGUAGUUUACCAGCAAAUCUAGACAAUCCAGUGAAGUCAUUAGCAAGAACUUACACAAAAGAAGUUAUCACUUAUGGAAGCCAACUCUAUAAAUCGCUGCUGAGUCAAGCCGACUCUCCCGCUGGUGCCCAAAGAAAAGUUCUUAAACUGCAACACGAAUUUAGAUUUCUCGAACACACGUCUCCUAAUAAUGUCCGAACUUUCUUCCAUUCAAAAGUUAACGCUCUAAUUCGGUUGUUUAAAAACGCAAUUUACGCGCCAAGUCAUGAAAUUUUGCCAAUUCUUGUUCGAUUGGUUGUAGAGAUACUAGUUUCACUCUUUCAAUUAAUUUCAAGAAAUGUAAUAACUGUGUCAGGAGCGAGACCCAACGAUGAAUUUAACAAUGCAUUGGACGGUGACAGCGGUGAAUUUCUUCCGCCAAGCUUGUACCACAAUAAAGCUCCAAACGAGUUCAUGAGAACACGAGCUUUACAUGAGGAUCCUCGAAACGAAAACGACGAUCUCAGCCCUCGAGUAUUGAAAACACGUAAUCAAUCAGUGAAAAAAGACAAAGCGCAAAGGUCUUAUAAAAAUAAAAAUCAAGAACAACAUGACCUGAAACGAGGGGCUCAGCACCAAAAAGCUCUCAAAGCAAUAGGGCCAGAAGUAAAUGUUCGAACUUAUGACAUUGCAAGGUACUUGCCUAUAUAGCUUGGCAAAAGUAGCUUAUUACCGCGUGUCCAUGUACGAAAACUAUUAAUAAACGAUCGUUAAAUAUC